UUCAUGAGGAUAUAUAUGUAGUCCCAAAGCUGGGAAAAAAUCCUUUCCAAGUUUUCCAGUUGCAGAGUAGUAAUUCCAGUCCAAAGGGACCUCUGGAGGUCACCUGGUCCCAUCCCUUGCUCAGAGCAGAGCUGAUGGUAGGUUAGCUCAGGUCGAAGGAAUCUUGGACAGCCCCCAGGACAGCAGUCCCACCCUCACUGAGAAACCUUAUCCACUGGUCUGACCACCCACCCACAUCUAACUGGAGCUUUCCUUGUUGCAGCUGCUGCUAUCUGAUGCUUCUCAUCCUUCCUCUCCACACCUCGGAGAAGCACCUAGUUCCACCUUCUCUGUAACUUAUUAGGCAGCUGAAGACAGCAAAGUCUCUUCUCCAGCUUCCUUUCCUUAACCUCUCUACCUGUACACCACAUGCCCCAGCCUCCUGCUCAACCAUCCUUCUUGCAUUAGGGAACCCCAAACUGGGCACUGUUCUUGAGAUGAGGUUUCUUGAGAACUGGAGGGUAUGAACGUCUCCUGUCCUGGCCCUGCAGUCUGCGCUCCUGCUGGUGCAACCCAGAGUGCAGUUGGCCUUCUUCACCGCAAGGGCACACUGCUGACUAAUGAUCCACUUGCUGCACUAUCAGUCUGGGUCAGGCUUAAGUCAUUAUUCCUGUCUGUGACAGAUAAGAUUUUUUCCUCAAGUCAUCAUGAGACUAGAAAUGUCUACAGCCAGCAACAUCUUGCCCCCAGUGUGGCCUUUCUGUUGUUAAGAAGAAUAUCUAAGAUGAAAAUGUAUGUCAAAGGACCACUACUGCACCUGUAAACUGGACUGAAAUACAAACGUUGUUGCACACCAUACUGUUGGAGCUUGAAGGGAAUUCAUGUGCUUCCUGAGAAGAACAGAAGAGGAGGAGAGGCACUACUGUCCCAGCCUCUUUCCCAAUGCCCUUUACUCACCCUCAGAACUGCUGAGGCUGCUCCUCCCCCAAGGAAUCCAUCUGGGACAUCAGCAGCAGAGUGGGAGAAGUCCCACUGUGCAACCAGGAAAGUGGAAAGGGCAGACCACCUACAAAAAAAAUGGAACAAAAAGUAAAAUUAAAGGAAGCUGAAAACACUCAAAGUCACCAGAUCCUAAAUCCUAAGAAAUAGCUUGAAACUUUAAAGGAAAUUAAAUUAUUUUUCCCAAGCUUGGAAACUGUCAUCUAGUUUGUUUUUAAUAAAAUGGAUGAUUCUACCCCAAAGAAAUGCCUGGAAAUUUUCCAACUAUAAACCAUUGAAUAAAGAAUUUAGUUUAAAUUUGAACCAAUCUCAUGAACAACAGACAAAUGAACUAGAAGACGUUGUAAGAAAGCCACACCCAAUAAGUUAAUACUCUAUGAACUAACGUUUCCAUAUGCAUGUCAAUCUACAGCAAAGCAAUGAUAUCUAUGGAAUUACUCAUGCCUUCUAGGCUUUUCAAAAUAAAAAUACAGAUGCUACAAAAAAAUUCUGGAAAAAGAUGGGACUUGGGGGGAAAAGCAAGUGACAUUUGUUUACAUGAAAACUUUCCUCCGUUUUCCAAGCUCCAAUAUGUCAGAAAAAAAAUUAUAGCCUUACACUGCAAAACAAAGUGACAUCCAUUAUGUCAUACUAUCACAAUCUGGGUCUUGAGAAAUAUCAACAGAAAGACAAAGAUGCAUGAAAUUACCAGUUUAAGUUCUAUGGUAAGGAACACUGGAAUUUGGUUGCAACAUUUGGCUUAAACGAAAAAAAAUAAACAAACAAACAAAAAAAACAAACUCAA